AGAGUUUGAUCCUGGCUCAGGAUGAACGCUAGCGGCAGGCUUAACACAUGCAAGUAGAACGGUAACAGUCCUUCGGGAGCUGACGAGUUGCGAACGGGUGCGUAACGCGUAUGCAACCUACCUAUAACAGAGGGAUAGCCCAUAGAAAUGUGGAUUAAUACCUCAUAACAUCUUAAGAUGGCAUCAUCUAAAGAUUAAAACUCCGGUGGUUAUAGAUGGGCAUGCGUGACAUUAGCUAGUUGGUGAGGUAACUGCUCACCAAGGCAACGAUGUCUAGGGGUUCUGAGAGGAUGAUCCCCCACACUGGUACUGAGACACGGACCAGACUCCUACGGGAGGCAGCAGUGAGGAAUAUUGCGCAAUGGAGGAAACUCUGACGCAGCCAUGCCGCGUGCAGGAAGACUGCCCUAUGGGUUGUAAACUGCUUUUAUAUAGGAAGAACUACAGAUACGUGUAUUUGUUUGACGGUACUAUACGAAUAAGGACCGGCUAACUCCGUGCCAGCAGCCGCGGUAAUACGGAGGGUCCAAGCGUUAUCCGGAUUUAUUGGGUUUAAAGGGUCCGUAGGCGGGUCAUUAAGUCAGUGGUGAAAUCCUACAGCUCAACUGUAGAACUGCCAUUGAAACUGAUGACCUUGAAUAUAAUUGAAGUGGGCGGAAUGUGUCAUGUAGCGGUGAAAUGCUUAGAUAUGACACAGAACACCGAUUGCGAAGGCAGCUCACUAAGUUAUUAUUGACGCUGAGGGACGAAAGCGUGGGUAGCGAACAGGAUUAGAUACCCUGGUAGUCCACGCCGUAAACGAUGUAUACUCGUUGCUAGCGAUACACAGUUAGUGACCAAGCGAAAGUAUUAAGUAUACCACCUGGGGAGUACGAUCGCAAGAUUGAAACUCAAAGGAAUUGACGGGGGCCCGCACAAGCGGUGGAGCAUGUGGUUUAAUUCGAUGAUACGCGAGGAACCU
rnacentral:rRNA from 1 species